rnacentral:misc_RNA from 1 species
GAUGAAGAACGUAGCGAAAUGCGAUACGUAAUGUGAAUUGCAGAAUUCAGUGAAUCAUCGAAUCUUUGAACGCAUAUUGCGCUCUCUGGUAUUCCGGAGAGCAUGCUUGUUUGAGUAUCAGUAAACACCUCAACUUCCAUAUCUUUUUUGAAAUGGGAGUUGGACUUGAGUGAUCCCAACGCUUUUCCUCACCGAAAAGUGGCGGGUUACUUGAAAUGCAGGUGCAGCUGGACUUUUCUCUGAGCUAUAAGCAUAUCUAUUUAGUCUGCCUAAAAAACAGAUUAUUACCUUUGCUGCAGCUAACAUAAAGGAGAUUAGUUCUUGUGCUGACUGAUGCAGGAUUCACAAGACGGCUUCGGCCGACUUUGUAAACUCGAUCUCAAAUCAAGUAAGACUACCCGCUGAACUUAAGCAUAUCAAUAAGCGGAGGA